rnacentral:lncRNA from 1 species
CUUCAAUUUAAAAGAGAAAUAAGUUUAUCAAUACUUGAUGUAUAUAAUGUAUUUAUUAUAUUUUAUAUUCAUAAUUACAGCUCUAACCCAAAAGUCAAGUUCUUAAGAGAUGUUUAUUAGAGUGUUCCCUUUCUAGCUACCAUUCACCUAGGAAGCACUGAGAAAAGGUGGCACUUGCUCCACUCCAGCUUAGUCCAUCCAUUCUGGGUGCAGAGCCCAGCACUGUUGUGUUGUAGAUUCACAGCUGACUGUGAGUGGCUGCCUGGGAUCCACUGGUGAAAUCUGAACUCCCUGUGCAGAAUGUGUCCCCAUUAUAUUUGUGCCCAGUGCCUAGCAUAGGCCUGGUCCAGACGGGAUGCUUUGGGAAUUGAAUUCUUAAGUUUGUAUUCUGAUCAUAUAAUUCUGAAAUAUAUAAUUUUAAUAAAGAGUUCUGUUAAUGUGACAACUUCAGUCUUUUCUGUGAAGGGCCGAGAUGGACGGAAAAAUGUGGUACCUUGUGUCCUGUCUGUAAGUGGGGAUCUGGACCGAGGCGUGCUAGCCUACCUCUAUGAUUCUCUCCAGCUCACCGAGAACUCCUUUGCAAGGAAGAAAAUCCUUCAUAGAAAGGUGCUUUUGAUAUUUCAGAGAUGGACUUGGGAAACUAAACUUAGGGAACUUUUUCCUUUUUUUAUGUUAAUUGUGCCCUUUUUCUCCCUCUUGCUUGUGACUUUUAAUUGCCUUAGGUCCUGAAGCUCCACCCUUGCUUAGUCCCUGUAAAGGUGGCCUUGGAUGUGGGAAGAGGCCCUACGGUGGAGCUAAGACAAGUGAGUUCACCUGCAAGCUGUGAUUUUAAUUAUGACUCUUACUCCAAGUGAACUUGGUAGCUUGCCACUUGAAAUUUUAUUUUUAUUUGCUUACUUUUGAAAUGUUUUAAUUAAAUAUUGAACUGUGGAUAAAUACUGUGGUUAAUUACAGACGGAUGAACUAUGGUAUAAAGGAGGCUGAAUACAAUUCAGUGGAUUUUGCUGUUGAAGUCAUGCCCACUCAGUUUCAUAUUUUAAUGAUUUUAUAUAGUUUUAGGGCUUGUGAUGUAGCUCAGUGGUUGAGAGCUUGUCUGCAACGCCCUGGAUUCAAUCCCCAGCAUCACCAAAAAAAAAACCCACAAACAAUUUUAGCAAUUAAAAUAUGUAUACAGAUGUCUAAUGGAUUAUUUCUUUCCAUUUUAACUUAAUGCUUGUUGAUAUAAGCAGAGGUUCUAGAUCAGUGAUUUUGGUUUUUCUUACCUGUCUUGGUCUAAUGAUUAAAUAUUAUUGAGAAAAACCAGUGGCUUGGUUUUCAUUUUUUUCCGGAGAUUCCUUUUUUCAUUUUUUUUUGGAGAUUCCUUUUUUAGCUGUCAUCAUUUCUGUCCAGGACUGAGACCCACCCGGCCUCUCUGGUGAGGUCUGUAAAGUGGCAGUAGUGAGCCAGCAGAGAGGACUGUGGCUUGUGCUGCACACCCUUGCAGCUUGCAAGUUCCUAGGGUUUGAGAAACUGCUCUCAGGGACACCAUUUGGUCAUAUCUGGAGGCAUUUUUGAUAGUCACAGGAGGGGAAGUGGGGUAUGGCCAAAGCCCCUGUGUCUGAAGUGCCCAGGGGACAAAGCCAAUGCUGGCCAUUAUAAAUUUUCCUUUGUUUUGCUUUGCUUUCCUGCUCAUAGAGAAGAAGUAAGGUCCACUGUGUCAUUUAAUAGUCAUUACUUUUCCAUUUGCAGUCAGACUUUGUCCAUUCUCUCGGGACAUUUCUGUGAUUGGCUUCUGGAAUUCCAUGCUACAAGUUUUUCUCACAUUUUAUCCUCCUGGCUCUUCUCUCUCUUUGAUAAUGGUAGCAUAAUCCUAGGGCUCAAUUUUCACCUCUCACAUGAGUUGAGAGUUAACAUUGCUCUUUGGACCUGUUUUUUAUCUGACAGAACCAGUUUUAGUUUAAUUGGGUUUGUUUUGAAUGAUAAUGGUGAUUAAAAAUCAUUUGAUAUAAAAAUAUCUCUCAGAAGAUAUUUUAUCUUCUGACUCCAGACUUUUUAUAUCCCCCUACCCACACCCCACAAGGCUUAUCCAAAGGUGGAAAGUUCUCUAGAGGUAAGAUGAACGCUUCUCGCAUCCUCAAAUCAACUCUAAAUAUAUCUAUAAAAAUUUUUUAAAAAUUAAUAUGGGAUAUUAAUGCCUCAUUAUUUAUUUAUUUUUGCAGUACUAUGGAUUGAACUCAAGGCCUUGUAUAUGAUGGGCAAGUGCUCUACUCCUGAGCCACACACACCCCUACUCUUUUUAUUUCAUUUUAUUUUGAGUCAGUGUCUUGCUGAAUUGUCUAGAUUGUCCUCAGCUUGUCCAAGUAGCUGGAUUACAGGUGUGCACCACUUCACCUGGACUUAGAGAUUGAAGAAGGUGAUUUGUGGUUUCACAAAAAUAGGACACUGUUUUUCCUUCUUUCUAUUUGAGGUCUUUAUAUUUUUCUUCAGGUUUGUCAAGGGCUAUAUAAUGAAUUACUAGAAAGUGGAAUUUCUGUGUGGCCUGGAUACUUGGAAACCUUGCCAUCUUCAUUGGAACAGCUUUAUUCAAAGUAAGAGUGAGUUAUUUUCCUUGCAUAAGAAAUGUGUUUUUUUCAGUUAUUACAUGUGUCUUUAGUUAAUGACAAUUGAAAUAAAACUCGAAAUGUAUAUGUAAUUUAAAAUUAUUCCUAUUGUCCCUUUUAUAGAGCCAUGUGCCCUUUAAUAAACCUAUUAAGUCCCACAUUCUCAAUUCUGCAAAUAUUUCAACAAAAUUGACACAGGUGUACUAAAUUGGUUGGAAAUCAUAAUCUAGAAUUUACAUAUGUAUAUGUAAAUUAUAUAUUUUUUAAUAAUUUAAGUUGGGCACAAUACCUUUAUUUCAUGAAUUUAUUUUUAUGUGGUGCUGAGGAUCAAACCUAUUGUAAAUUAUAUAUGUAAAUUAUAUAUUUUUUAAUAAUUUUUUUAAGUUGGGCACAAUACCUUUAUUUCAUGAAUUUAUUUUUAUGUGGUGCUGAGGAUCAAACCUAUUGCCUUACACAUAUGAGACAAGCACUCUACCACUGAGCUACAACUCCAGCUCCUGGAAAUUAUAUUUUUUAAACACUAUAUUCAUUCAUCUAUUACUUUUCUCAAAAGACUAUGUAGACCUCUAAAAAAUAAUAGUUAUUUAAAAGUUGCCAUAUGUGGUGGUAUAUCUGUUACUCAAUUCAAGUUUCACCUCUGGGAUGAGGGGACAAAAUGGGUUAAUUGCUAUAGCAGGGAACAAAAGGUACAUUUGAGCGCAUGCUGUGUACAGUUCUAAAGCUUCAUGUCAUGAAGUAUGUGUACCUCAGUUUAUCCAUUAGAGAUGACAUUACAUACAUAAGGUGCAUUUGUUGAAUCAGAACUCAAGGAAUAUGAUGCCUUUCCUUGGCUCAUUCUGAGAUUAAGGGGAAGAGAAUUCUACCCAAGCAGAGAGAACUAGUCUUCUCAGGGAUUGGCACCUCUGCUCACCAGAUUGCUCAAGACUGAAACUGGUUACUGGUUGAUCACCCUUAACCUGAAAAUUCAGAAUCUGAAAUGCUCUGAAACCUGAAACUUUUUGAGUGCUGACGGUUCACAAGUGGAAAUUUCCACACCUGACCUCAUGUGACAGGUUGCGGUCAAAACCCAGGUGCACCAAAGAUGUCAGCCUGCCUCCUAAAUAGAUGUCAAAUUCACAUCUCUGUCUUUAUAGUUAAGGUCAUCCAAGUUAAGGUCACCAGUAUCUUUUGUGUAGUAUUGGAUUCAUCUCCUAAUUGAUCUCCCUUUAUCUAGUCUUGCUAGUUCUGCUAUUUUAUUAAUAAAAAUGAUUCAUUCUUCUUUCUUUUUGGGUGUAUUUUUAUUUACUUAUUUAUUUUUUACUAUUUGUGUUGAAUAUAUGUCUUUUGGAUAAAGUGAUCUGAAAGUUUGUAUUCUGAACUCCUUAAAACUUACCUUCUGGAUAAUGUCUGCAAAAAAUAGCUUUCUAUUUUUAGAAACAGCAACUAAUGGUUUUAUCAUAUAUCAAAUGAAGAGAUUGAACUUUCCAGUCCUCACAGGUUCUAAAACCUUACCUUUGAGUCAUGCGGAUGUAACAAGUAUUGUUAUUAUUUAUGCGGCUUUUGUCCCCCACAUAUUUUUAUCCAUAUAUUUAUUAUUAAAUACCACUGUGCCUUAUGCAUUUUGAUACUGAACAAGACAAAGUUCCCUGGUCUUGGUUUUUGUGAAGCUAGUAUCUAAAACAGAUAACAAAUAACUAAAUAGAUAAAAUAGUUUUAAUGGAAUCCUACAAAGGAAGUAAGCAUUUAAUGAGAUAGUGUGGCUUGCUGAGCAGAAAGGCCAGUGUAGAUAUAUUCAGUGAUUGCUGAACUACAAACUCUAUUAGCAUGCUAUAAGUUAUAAAAAAUGCGUGUAGUUGGUAUAAUUUGCUGUACACCUGAUCUUUACUAUAACAUUGUUUAUUAUACUAGACUUUAAAAUCAUUGUUCUUGAAUUACAGCCAAGUUCCAAAGGCUGUGGGAGUUAUGAGGUUCAUCCAUAUCACACCAAAUGUGUGUUGAGGUGCCAAUGUUUAUGUCUCUGGUUUUAGUUUCUCAAGAAUUCCUUAAUUACAAUCCAUUACAAACUCUAGGAAUUUUGCUUUGAAUAUGAUUCGGAAACAAAAAAAGUUGGGUUUGUCUGCUUCAGCUAUCAGGCCCUGACCUUGAGUUGGAAGUGGCAGGGCUGUGGUUGAAGCUGGCACUGUGGGUUUGUGUAUUUGAGUUCAUGUGUUUUGUUGAACUUCUCUUUUCUUAGGUAUGAUGAAAUGAGUAUCCUUUUCACAGUUUUGAUUACUGAAACUACUUUGGAGAAUGGAUUAAUACAUCUGAGAAAUAGAGAUACCACAAUGAAGGAAAUGAUGCAUAUAUCCAAAUUAAAAGACUUUUUAAUCAAGUAUAUGUCAUCAGCUAAGAAUGUAUAGGUUUUCACAUUUGUAUAAUAAAUACUCUCCUAAUUUGGUUGUUUUA